rnacentral:rRNA from 1 species
AUUGAACGCUGGCGGCAGGCCUAACACAUGCAAGUCGAGCGGAUGAAGGGAGCUUGCUCCUGGAUUCAGCGGCGGACGGGUGAGUAAUGCCUAGGAAUCUGCCUGGUAGUGGGGGAUAACGUCCGGAAACGGGCGCUAAUACCGCAUACGCCCUGAGGGAGAACGUGGGGGAUCUUCGGACCUCACGCUAACAGAUGAGCCUAGGUCGGAUUAGCUAGUUGGUGGGGUAAAGGCCUACCAAGGCGACGAUCCGUAACUGGUCUGAGAGGAUGAUCAGUCACACUGGAACUGAGACACGGUCCAGACUCCUACGGGAGGCAGCAGUGGGGAAUAUUGGACAAUGGGCGAAAGCCUGAUCCAGCCAUGCCGCGUGUGUGAAGAAGGUCUUCGGAUUGUAAAGCACUUUAAGUUGGGAGGAAGGGCAGUAAGUUAAUACCUUGCUGUUUUGACGUUACCAACAGAAUAAGCACCGGCUAACUUCGUG